GGGUCCUUAGCUCAGCCUGGUAGAGCACUUGUCUCCAAAACAAGGUGUCGGGGGUUCAAAUCCCUCAGGUCCCGCCA
rnacentral:tRNA from 1 species